GCGCGAAACCUUUACAAUGCACGAAAAGUGUGAUAAGGGAACCCAAAGUGCUUUACUACGUAAGGCUUUUGCCAAGUGUAAAAAGCUUGGAGAAUAAGUGGUGGGAAAGACUGGUGCCAGCCGCCGCGGUAACACCAGCGCCACGAGUGGCAAUCAUUUUUAUUUGGCCUAAAGCGUCCGUAGCUGGUUGAGUAAAUCUCUUGUGAAAUUGUUCAGCUUAACUGAGCAGCGUGCAGGAGAGACUGCUUAGCUAGAGACCGGGAGGAGUCAGAGGUAUGCUGAGGGGAGCGGUAAAAUGCUAUAAUCCUCGGUAGACCACCUGUGGCGAAGGCGUCUGACUAGAACGGGUCUGACAGUGAGGGACGAAAGCCAGGGGAGCAAACCGGAUUAGAUACGAGAAGUUUUCCGAAAGAAAACGUCUGGAAUUAGCUCGUAAGUUUGCAUGAACUAUGAUACGAGUUAAGGAAAGGCAUAAAUUAUGAUAACUUACUCGCUAAUUACCCGAGUAGUCCUGGCCGUAAACGCUGCGAGCUAGGUGUCGCAUAUUCUCCGUGAAUAUGCGGUGUCGAAGCGAAGGUGUUAAGCUCGCCGCCUGGGAAGUAUGGUCGCAAGACUGAAACUUAAAGGAAUUGG
rnacentral:rRNA from 1 species